CUCUUCAAUAAUCAUAUCUUUGUCUUCUCUGGUAAUGAUACUACUAACCUCAUCCUCACGACUAUUUGCCAUCUGAUCCAUAACCCUACGCAAAGAGUCUGAAAUAAUCUAUUAUUGAUACUGAAUUAUACUCUUAGUCAAACAAAGAAUUCGUGGCGCUAUCAAUAGAGAUGAUAAAAUUCAAAGAUGAAAAGGAACAAAUAUUCUACGGGAAGUUUAAAAAAAAAAGAAACCAAAAAUUUCCGUGUUCUCCCUAUUUAUUUAAAAAAUGUUUGGGAGAAGAGAAGCUUAUUUGUCAUGACGUGGAAUUCAAUAAGCUGCUAGCAGCCGUGAGAUUAAGUAAAUUAACACAAGUAUCACUUUGUAUCUAUCUAUCAAUGAUAUAGACUCCGAUGUUGAUCCUCAAUUCUGCUACGAGUCCAUCAAGGACUUAUAACUUUAUACUUAUUGUUCCCUCCUCAACAAUAAAGAUGACAGCUUCGGAAAAUAAAAGCACAUUCCCAGGUUGCCACAACCGGAAUCCUCUUCUUCGAUUUUUAUAUUAUUAUUUUUACCCUUCAAAUUAAUCCACAAUAACCUCAGAAUUAUUAAUAUCACUGUUUAUUUCAAACGUCACAACAAAAUAAUAAUACACACAGAUGAUAACACCACAUCACAUAUAAUAAUAAUAUGUUUGUAUUUACAGGACGCACGCGUGCAAAGCAAACUCAUUUAAAAAUAAAUAUUAAAUUUUAUAAGAAAUUUGAAAUUAUAAAAAGAAGAAAAAAAACCGAACAGGAAACAUAAAUUAAAAAAAAAAAAUUGCUUUGCACUUUCUAUCACAUGUUGAUUUAUCAUUUUAAGCAUUACAAAAAUAUAUAUUAAUAAAGAACGCAGAUUCUGACAACAUUACAAUAAUUACAAUUAAAAAUAAUAUUCUAAAACUUUUUGUAUAGCACAAAUCAUAGGAAAUUUUUCAUAUUUAUAAAGUGUUUUUUUUUUUUUUUUUUUUUAAAGAAAAAAAAGUCAUGCAGAUAAAUCAAUAAUUACUUCCUUUUCGCAAAAUACCUAGAGACACAGACGUAUUUAUCAUCAAUCUUACAAAUAACAGAGAGGGCGUGGCGUGACUCUGUAUCAAGCAUGACGACAUUAGAUACCCAAGACAAUUCUAAACCGAAUAAAUAUGGGUCUACACAAAAAUGGCUCUGAUUAGAUAUAUGGGAGGCCGGACUUAAUGUCGACAGUUUUGUAUCUAUAUAAAUGCUGCCUCCCUCUUGGGUCGGUCUGGACUGAAUGCGCCGGACCGACUAUUCAUCCGUCUAAACUGAGUGAGUCGAAGCACCAAUGUCUGGACCGAUACAAAUUAGAAAAAGUAAAUAGGUGACGUCACACACCUUUUCUAAAAUAAUAAACAUGAAUUAAUUUGGUUCCAAAUAGGACAUUCCUAUCACGUGAUCGACUCAAACCUACACAACCCUAUCAAUAUAGUCCAAAAAUAGACUAUACGGAGACAGCAGAUUAUAGAAAUGCCUCAACUAGUUCGAACUCUUAGGCUGAUGCAGAGCCCUAAAAGCAAAUUCUGACCAACAGAUUUGAGCACCAUCUUUCGUCUCGGCUCAUAACUAUUGUGUGUUUAAUAAAUGAAUACAUAAAAUCACAAUAAUUGUAAUUUUAUAAUUAAUUUCAAGUUAAACGUUUUGAUCAAAGGAAACAUACGACACACAAUUGUGAUUGUAUAAUAUAUUGAUUUAUUAAAUGCAAAAUAGUUAUGGGGGAUACGAAAGAUUAUUGCGCUCAAAAUCGAACAAUAAUCUUAGGGCGUUUGGCACUUAGGUAA
rnacentral:lncRNA from 1 species